GGGGUGAGAAACAUGUCGCAAGUGUCAACGACAAUAAAAUUUGUUGGGUAUUUCUUACCUAGCAAAGUUUCUUUAAUAUUUCCUUUUCAUCUCCAUCUCCCACGUUCUCAUUCUCUCUAUUUUUCCACUCUGCCUCCCACACUUGCUUGAUUCACUGAAGAAAAACCAAAAUAUUCACAGAACCCUUAACCCAACAGGAACCUCGCAAGCUGCAUCGUUCCUUCCAAGCCUUCCACAAGUUGCAAUCGUUCGUUUCAAGCCUUCUCAUAAGUGUUGGAUGUAGUGUUACUGGCUAACAAUCAUAUAAGUUUAAAGUUCUUAUUCAUACCCUUUCUGUCUCCGACGACGGUGGAGUUCAGUUCAGUUAGACUCGAGAUACUCAGAUAUUGAGAUAAGGUCAGAUGAAUGUGAAAUAUGUCUUUUCUCUCGGAUGGAUACGAAAUAAGAUGGCUCGAGUUGAACUGUUACAAUGAAUUGACAUUGACCUUGAAGUGUUUUGGCUUGCUCUUUACUUUGUUGCUGUAGCCACUCUUGCUGCACUUGUUGGGCAACAUUUGGUGAGGAAGCUAAUUUCCUUUUCUGAGUGGAAUAUCACUAGGCAAGUAUUCACGGGCUUUCCGAAUAUAUAACACAGUAUGGAAAAUUACAAGUGCUAUCGUAGUUGGAUGUACGAUCGUAUGUAUGCUGAGAGACGUGGACUUAAACCACUUUUUGAGGAAGGAGUUAAAUUGUUUAUUACAUGGGCAUUUGAUCAAAAAUGUUGUCGAACAGAGGGAUGAGUGAGAUGUCCGUGUCUUAAAUGUGGAUGUAGACGUAUAAUAAGUGAUUCGAAAGAAGUAGAAACUCAUUUGAAGAGAAAGGGAUUUAAGGAAAAUUAUUGGGUUUGGACAUCAAAUGGGGAACAAAUUAAAUGCUGAUGAAUAUGCCAGAGACUAGUAAUUUCCAACAUGGCUCCAGUAGUCGAUCACAGAUGGAACAUGAAGAACAAUUUAAUAUACACGAUGACAUAAUUGGCGAUGCUUUAUGGGUGAAUAUGGCCUACGAUGAACAACAAGAUAGUGAUGAGGAAGAGUUGCCGAAUGAGAAAGCUCAAAAUUUUUACGAGUUGUUAAAAGAAAUAAACACGCCAUUGUUUGAGGGUUCGUCAAACUAUAAAUUAUCUAUGUGUGUGAGAUUGUUGGCUGCGAAGUCAAACUGAAAUGUUCUUUCACAAGAGCAAAUAAUGCUUACACAACAACAAAUUCAACAACAAGUGCAAUAACAAAUACAAUAGCAAAUGCAACAACAAAUGCAAAAAUUAUUUCAACAACAAUAUGGUGGUGGUGGAUUUAGAGCGGUUGAUAACCAAAGAGUGGUAGACGAGAAUGACGAGUGUUACGUUACAGGAUAGUAUUUGGCUUUGCGGGUGGUAUGCACCUGGCAAACUUGAGUUUUUUUUUAGUGUAUAUCUCCCCACAAUGUGCAUGCCAAUUUUCUAGUAGCAAUUUGUCAUUUUUCUUCAGAACUCACCACUUUUUCACCUUUUUUCUUAAUUUCUUCACUUCUUUAUUUUGUUCUUAUUUUUAUUCAAACUUCAACCUAAUUAGUUGAAAAUGACUAAAAACAAAGACAAAUACUUAUAAAAUUACAUGCUGAUAGAGUGUCAUUAAUAACCACUAAAAUCUUAAUCAUAUAUUAUUGAUCUGAUACGGUGUUAGGGUGAAUUCGCUGCAUGGUCCAUGUAUUUUGGGUCAUUCCCACAUCAUAGAUCUUUUAAAAUAUCUUCUUUAGCCGUUAGAUGGAUCCGAUAACCCAUUUAUGAGGUCCCCUAUACCGAAAAAGGUACACUUAAAUAUUUUAUAGUACUUACCAAAUAUGGAUCACACAAUCAAUCAUGGACAUAUAUAAUAAAUUAAGUUCAGGGGCUUGUAGCCUUGUACAAAAGCGUUACUGUGUCACACUUAUACAAAUACAACAUAACAAAGUUCAAACACUCAUGACAGACACAACUUUUUUUCCACUACAAUAAUUGAUUUUGCAGUGCUUCCUUUGUCCUAAUUUUAGCAUGAGGCCACAAUUACAGACUGUGCAGCAUUGAUAGAUUUCACAGUGAAUCUGUUGAAUCCAGCCAUUUUAAUCACAUGUUCCCACUCUUUCAGUGUUCUUUCUUUACCAAUGUUCGUAUGUGCCAUCAUCACCAUGUCUAACAUUAACCCUACGUCUUCAUACUUGUUGUGUUUUCCUCCUCCUUCUUCUUCUUCUAUAACUGCUUCCACAAUAAUCACUUUUCCAUUUUCUUUUGGUAUAGCUUCCCUACUAUUCUUUAAGAUUUUGAUGCACUCUUCAUCCCCCCAAUCAUGCAAAACCCACU